rnacentral:rRNA from 1 species
AAACACCCGUUCCCAUUCCGAACACGGAAGUUAAGCCCGCCAGCGCCGAUGAUACUGCCCUGGAGACGGGGCGGGAAAGUAGGGCGGUGCCAGGC